AAUGUUGUAGGUCAUGUUACACACCUGGUGCAGGUAAUGCCAAUGUUGUAGGUCAUGUUACAUACCUGGUGCAGUUAAGAAAUUUAAAGGAGCAGAGGGUGUCUUUGCCACUUUUCUAAUAAGCUCCCCACAAGCUCAAAAUAUAGAUUCCACACAA